AUAUAGCCUCCUCCGCAGGCAACUCUUUGGCAAAAGUAUUGAGUAAAAAAAUUGGCAAAAAUGUGAAUAUUAUAGGGUUACUAACUUUAAAUUCGCUGUUAUUCAUAAUAUUUCUGCCAAAGAGUUGUCUGCGGAGGAGGCUACCU